rnacentral:rRNA from 1 species
GGUUCGAGACCCUGAAUCGUGUAGGGGAUGGAGCUGGCCUCCUCCCCGCCCCCGAAAUCUCGGCGACGUGCGGACACUCGGCCCUGCAGCGAUGYGCUGGRCGGCCACGCUACGGGUCCAGCGUCGUCGAGGUCGAGGGUCACAUCGAAUGCCCGUGAUCGAAAGCGUGGAUUCCCCGCGGGGCGAAGAAGAGACUCGGAUGCAAUCUGGAUUAGGAUCGGUGCCUUCGAACGACGUCCGCGUCGGAGCGAGAGGUCUCUGCUCGGUUGCAGUUCAGAGGGGGUCCGGGCCUCGUCCCCCGUUGAGAUUUCACGGUCCGAUCGCGUGCGCGGCGCUGUGCCAGGGAUCCGUCGUUUCGACGGCGGCAAGUCGGGACUGCCGCAACCCCCCGUUGCCUUGCCCAGGUGUGUUGACUCGUCGCUUGGAGCGUUCUGUGUUUAGGAUGGGUGCACUCGCAUGAUCCGCUGACACGGCUCUCCCAUGCGUCGCCUCCCACCUUUGCGAGGGGAUGGGGCGGGGACACACCACAGCGUUCCUCGUCGCACCCAUUGGGUGCUCGGGGUUCGGGAUGUGUCAACACCCAACAACACACGGGUGCAUCGCGCACCUUAGAAAUCCAAAGAACGAAGCGCGAGCCAGCGCCUUGCGCGCUUGGGUCGCCGAAAGGCAAAAACAAAACAAAAUCACGACUCUCGGCAACGGAUAUCUCGGCUCUCGCCACGAUGAAGAAUGUAGCGAAAUGCGAUACUUAGUGUGAAUUGCAGAAUCCCGUGAAUCAUCAAGUCUUUGAACGCAAGUUGCGCCCGAGGCCUCGGCCAAGGGCACGUCUGCUUGGGCGUCGCACUACAAAAUUUUGCCCUCCCCGGCGAGGAGCGGAGAUGGCCGUCCGUGUCCGCAAGUGGCGCGCGGUCGGCUGAAAUGAGCACGAGGUCCGUCGAUCCGUCGCGACGAGCGGUGGCUCGCAAAGGCCGGCGUUGGUUUGCGCCGAUCGAACGAUUCCUCGCGAGGAACUUUAUUCUGGGCUCAGCGGCCCGCCGCAGUGCGGGCAUUGCUGCAUCUCUACCGCGUCC